ACUCAGCCGGAUGCCUCUAGGAAAUGCAUCUCAGGCAUUGACAGGAUGGAAAGGGUUUUAUUUACAGGCCUCCCUCCCUGGCUGUUUCUGAAGAGUUGCGAUUCACAGGGAAGUCGAGGCAGGAGUCCCCUUCCAGCCAGGAGUACGGGAGAGGUUCCAAAGUAGAGCCCAGAGUCCCUGUUUCUACGGAGUCAGCACCUGAGAAACUAACAGAAGCUGAAACUACACUGGGAGCCAUGACACCUGGCUUCUGUCCACAGCCUUCCUGGGCUAGCACGGCCCUGCCCUGGGCCUCAGUUUCUCCAUCCAUGAGAAGGGGAUGCCUUGCUGUGCCUGACCCAGCGUUAACAAGACGUCAUACCCCUCUGUAUCAGCCAGAUGAUUCAUAUACCCAGAAGCUUUUUUUCUCUUUUAAUCAGAUUUCCUGAAUGUAGGGACCAGGCAUUGGUUUUUUGUUUGUUUGCUUAAUCUUUAUUUGUUUUUAUUCUUCAUCUAUUUGAAAGCAGAAUGACACAGAGAUGUCUUCUAUGACAUUGAUGAUGAUUCAUUCCCCAAAUGGCCCCCAAAAACAGUACUGGCCAAGGCUGAAGCCAGGACCUAGAACUCCAUUGUGGAUGGCAGGGACCCAAGCACUUAAGCCAUCAACUGCUGCAGCCCCAGGAGGCAACAGCAGGAAGUUGGAUUGGAAGCGGAGGAACUGGGACUUGAACUGGCACUGGGAUAAGGAUGUCCCAAGCAGCAGCCUAACUUGCUACACCACAAUGUCCGCCCCUUUGUUAACUUUUUAUUUAAGCUCCAUAAUAACUUCAUGAGGUUGGUAGUUCUAUCAAUAUGACCAUUUUACAGACAGAAUAACCAGAACUAAGAGUCACAUGUCUGGAUUAAGUUACAUAGAAUUCACACCUUCCCCUGGACAUCAUUCCCUAUUGAAACCAAAACCAAACCAAACCAAAACAACCACCUCCCCCCCCACCAAAAAAAAAAAAAAACAACAACCAACAACAACAAAAACACAGAACAACAAACUACAACAUACUUUGAAAACCUUGAGGUUUGUUCUGAAAAAUGAUUUUUCCUAUUGCCAAGGUCAACUUGUUAAAUAACGACUGUUAUUUCAAAGCUUCUGCUGGCUAUUUGCUUGGUUUAGGAUGGAGGCCCAGGGCAGGUGGUUCUCUGCUCCCCACCCCCUCUUCGUUCUCUUUAACUCUCUUGUGGCUCUUUUUUAUUUUUGACAGGCAGAGUGGACAGUGAAAGAGAAAGACAGGGAGAAAGGUCUUCCUUUACCGUUGGUUCACCCUCCAAUGGCCGCAGUAGCCAGCGUGCUGCAGCCGGUGCACCGCGCUGAUCCAAAGCCAGGAGCCAGGUGCUUCUCCUGGUCUCCCAUGGGGUGCAGGGCCCAAGCACUUGGGCCAUCCUCCACUGCACUCCUGGGCCACAGCAGAGAGCUGGCCUGGAAGGGGGGCAACUGGGACAGAAUCCGGCGCCCCAACUGGGACUAGAACCAGGUGUGCUGGCGCCACAAGGCGGAGGAUUAGCCUAUUGAGCCGUGGCGCCGGCCUCUUGUGGCUCUUAAAAGAGACGCCUAGUCUGGGAGGGAAGAGAUAAAAGGGAAUCAAAUGGUUAUUCACUCAUUCAACAAAUGUUUAUUGAGUGCCUGUUAUGUGCCAGGAGCUGUUCACAAUUGUGAACAAGAGAUGAAGAUCUGAGUUGAUAGAUUAAGGGUGGAGACUUGAUCCAAUUAUGGUACCUGGAGGUGAGGCCUUAGGGAAAUGACUGGAUUCGGUUAGGUUGCUAAGGUGGAGCCCAUGAUGGAAUCAUGAUGGCCAUAGCAAGACAGACACAAGGACAUGGAGGAAGAGUGUGCUCCCUGGCUCUGAUCCCUGGCUCACCAUAUGAUCCCUCCUUUGUGUGUGUUUUGUCAUCAGAUACCAGACUAAUCGGGCCACUCCAUGUGGGACUGUGAACCCCAAAACUAUAAGAUUAAAUAGACCUUCUUCUUUCCUAGAUAUUUUAGCUUUAGUAAGGAAGAGCCGAUUCAUACAAGGACCUUGAGGGAAGACAUGACCAAGACAGCCUAAACACCUUUCUCUUCAAAUCUUGGGGUGCUGGACUUUCUGCAGUGUGGGAGGAAUCUCGUGUUCAUCUAUUGGGGUAUUCAGUGAGAAGGUGUCCUGUGCAUUCCCAAGGGUUUGGGGGACAUGGAGGGGACAGCAGAUGGCCAACAGCUCCCUCUUCUGUGGCAAUGAGUGUGGAUCAGAGUCUAUGGGGAGUUCUGAGGUAGAAGCCAUCGAGAAGCCCUUGGGCUCCUCUGGGUGGGAAGUGGGAGGGGGUCAUUAAUUGCCUAAGGGCAGCACCUCAUCACUGUGUCUACCCAAGAGGGUGAGGCCCCUAAGCACCCUCAGAAUGACAAAGAGAGAAUGUUGGGAAGGGCAGAUUGAACAAAAGGGAACAUUCUGGAAGGGCAGGUACUGCACUCCCAUAGGCCUACAGGAGCAGGUCCAGUCCUGUUUCCUUCUCAUUGCUCCCUGCUUUUCUCUGGUACCCUCUAGACCCCAACAACAAACCCGAGGAUCUCAGGCUGCAAACUCCAUAUGGGCAGGAACCCAGGCUCGUUUUGCUUCCUUGGGAUCCCUGGCAUCUGGUAGCAUUCGACAGUGUCGGCGGAACAACCCUCUUCACCAACCGGAGUCAGGUCACGGGUGGAUCCUGCUCACUGGGGCCCUGACAUGCAAGGCGCAAGAGCGGGGCAGUCACGUGCAGAGACGCAGUGUGCUCCCAGGAAGAGAAACUGCCUGGCCAUCUGGCCACGCGCUCUGAGCUGUCCCCGCCAUGGGGACGCAGAUGGACUUCUGAACCAGAGCCCCCUCCUCCGCCUACCCCAGGUCCCAGCCCAUCUGCUGCCGCCCAGGACCCAAACUGGCCAGGGUGACAUCACAAGUGAGUGACCAUGCAGAGAGGGCUCCAAAAUCAUCUCACUGCUGAAGUCCUCGAGGUGCCUCUCUAGGGCGGUGUCUGGAGAGCUGCCUGUCGCAUCUACCCUACAUUCUCAAAUUGCAUGUUCAAGCCCCUUCCUCGACUGUCCCUGACACCAGCCUUCUCUUCACGUCUGAAGGGGCUCAAGACGAUUCUUAAAUGAUGCUGGACAGUCCAGGUCUCAGAUACUCUCAUUCAUUCAGAGUAAUAAUGGCCAAUGUUUACUGAGGGUUUCCUGUGACCAGCCAGCGUGCCCAGUGCUUUCCACCCACUCCACCUGAGGUAGGAACUUGUACUUGCAUGCACCUGCAGAUCAGCCUUGCACUGUCUAGGGGGACUUCCAGUAGUGAUGUAUCUGCCCAUGCCACAGACACCACGUGGCUACAGAGCACCUGAUUGGUACCUGGUGUGACCCAGUAACUGAAUUUUUUAUUUUAUUUUUAUUUGAAUAGACACACAUGGCUAGUGUGUUAGCACAGAUUCAGAGGGCUCAAGUGAUACACUCAACACCACACAGUUCAUAAAGGGCAUGGUUGGCCUCUGGGGAGCAUGCACUACCCCAUGACGCUGUCCUGGGAGGCAUUUGCAUUAACAGCAUAAGAAACCAAGAUAAAGAGAUGGGGAGUAACCAACAAAUCUUUGGGGCAUUCGAAGUUUCCAUCCAGCACCUGGUCUGUGAGCAAGAUAAAAACAUAUGGCAGGGGACAAAGAGGAGUAAGACCCAGGUUCUGCCCUCAAGGUGCUGCCAAUCCAGUGGAAAAGAAAAAUAAAUUCUACUUGGCAGGAAACUACAGGUGCAAAACUGAAUGAGGUAGGACAUCACCAGGACAUUCCACGGCGGCCUCCAAAAGUCAACCACGCCCAACUACGAUCUCAUAGUCUCCUGCUCACUCUUCCCCAGGUUUGUUUCUCCUACAUUCCUUGUUUCACUCUCACUUCCUGGAACUCCUUUUCCUGCUUAAUCUGCCUGGACUGGCAUGCAUCCCUAAUAACUCAGCGCAGGUGAAGUGCCCCGGAAGCCUUGUCUGGACAGGCACUCAGUGACCCCUCCCUCUGUGCUCCCAUCAUCCUGUGCACACCUUGAUUCUGUCACUCACUCGACUGAUGUGUAACCACUGACAUAUGUGUCCCCAUUGGAGGGUGUCCUGUGAGGUCAGAGUCGAUGGAUUUGCCUUCCUUGUGUCCAGAGUGCCUGCAGUGCCGGUGAUAGGUGGUGGAGGUGGGCGUGUGCAGGUGCAUCUGCCUUCAUGGUUAUCUGCAGAGCCAAACACCUCUGUCCUGCCAUCUCCCACCACAUUCGCACACGGCCUUUCUGCAGAGGAAGGCUUGUGGGAAAGGUGCCACAGAACAGCCCCCAGUCACCCCACAGCCUCUCCCCUGGGGCACGGCAGGGUGGCUACCCACAGAACCUGGUGCACAGUGUGGCCUCUGACAGCUUCCAAAGCAGUCUCAGAAACACCUAGCUGUAGCCCCAAGCAGAACGGGCCUGCUCUGUACCUCUCUCUCAACCCUGCCUUCUCCCAGUCACUUCACUGGCAGUGAGUGUCAAACCCUAUCCCCAGGAAACCUCUGCUCCAUCAAAAGGAAUUUACCCCGUGGUGUGCAGACCCAGGUCCCAGACCUUACCAAUAGCAGGUGCACCUCCACGUACCAUGUGGCCCUCUACAAAGCUAUGCCUUCCACAUGUUCUCAUUUGACCCUCAUGCCUCCUGCUAUGUGAGGAGGGGACAUGGGCACUAUCUCCCCAUUUUACAGAUAAAGAAAUAAAGGCUCAGAGAGAUUAAGAGACUUGCCCAAUCUAAGUGCUGGAUCCUAAAUUCAGAUUCAGACCUUUUCACUCUAAGCUCAGUGCUCAGUGUCCUGGGAGUUCACCAAUUUAAAUUUUUUAGAAGGUCCUAUUUUAAAAGACAAUCAUAUUUAUGUGACUGAAAGAUCAAUAAUGCAACCUGUAUACUAUCAAGUGAACACUUUUCAUAUUUUUGUUAACGUCUUUUUAACAUAAAAUGUUUUAGUUUAUGUUCAAAUGGCAUGUAUAUAGUUAUAUUUUAUGUUAAACAUGUGCAUAACUAUAUGUAUUUUAAUUUUUAACAUCUGAAGAUGGGUGGCUGAGGCAGAGCAGGUUUGGAGGAGGUGCUGAUGAGUUGAUUUGAGGAUGCCCUGUGCUCCAGGUUCUGAUGGGACGCUGGGUAGAGCAGAGAGCUGAAAACGGGCAUCCGGGGACAUACUCUGCCCCAGGCCCCCGGAUGACCUGCUGCUUCCCAAACACCCUUGCUUCUUCACUUCAUGCCCUCCACAAGGCAGGUAUAGCUGCCUCGGCAUCUCUGACUUCGGAUAUUCUACCUCCCUUCCACGACCAUUCUGGAUGCCGCCUCACAUGAACCUCAGAUCAGACAUGGUCUCUCUCCCCUGUGGGUUCUCGCAGCAGUUCCUACACACCUCUGUUCUAAUCUCCGUCUCAUUCUACAAGGGCUAGGGUCAUUUGUGUGUCUGCCUCCUCCAUGGUGUCUAAGGCAGGGGCAAGUCUUUUCCCAUCUGUAUCACCCACAGUGGUGCUUUAUAAUUAGGGAUCAAAAAAUAAUGGCUGUAUUUCAUUGUUAACUGUAUUUCUAAGGAGGACUGGUAAAAGAGGGUAAGGUUCAACCCCUUUCUAGUGGUGAAUGUAAAAUGCAACAGACAGCACAUUUUUGUCUGAAUUAUCAUUCUCUCUCUCUCUCUCUAUUUGAAAGGUAGAGUUACAGAGAGAGAGAGAGGGAGAGACAUAGAGAUCCUCCAUCUGCUGGUCUACUUCUCAAAUGACCGCAAUGGCCGGAGGUGGGCUGGUCCAAAGCCAGGAGCCAGGAGCUUCUUCCAGGUCUCCUAUGUGGGUGCAAAGGCCCAAGCACUUGGGCUAUUCUCUGCUGCUUUCUCAGGCACCUCAGCAGGGAGUUGGAUCAGAAGUAGAGCAGCUAGGACCUGAACUGGAGUCCAUAUGGGAUGCUGACACUGCAGGUGGAGGUUUUACCCACUAUGUGACAGUUCUGGCCCCAUGAAUUUUCAUUUUCAAAUAUGAACUCUGUGAUGAUUUAAAAGCACAUGCUCCAUGGGACCGGCAUUGUGGUGCAGUAGGUGAGGCCACUGCUUGCAAAUCAGCAUCCCAUGUCAGGGUGCCAGUUUGAGUCCCACGGCUGCUCUGCCCUGUGAAUGUGCCUGGGAAACAAGAGAAGAUGGUCCAAGUACCUGGACCCCUGCCACCCACAUGGGAAACCUGGCUGGAGUUCCAGGCUCCUGGGUUUGGUCUAACACAGCACCUACCUUCAUGGCUAUUUGUAGAGUGAACCAGUAGAUGGAAGAUCUCUUUCUGUCUCUCCCUGUCUCUCUGUCAUUCUGCCUUUCAAAUAAACAAUUGUUUUUUAAAAAAGCUCAUGUCCAAAGAUGGGGAAGGGCUUAUAAAUAAGAAGCAGUAGAAAAGAGUUGCUGCAAUCUGUUAGAAGCAUGGUAGAAAGUCGGAGACCAGAGCGAACAGGAGUUUGAAAAUACCUCCCCCCACCAGGAUGGCACACACCCACACACCUCCUCACCCCUCUCUCUCCACAAGCAAUACUUGAAGCAAAAUGGAGAGGAAGAAAAGAACAAAACAAGGGUUUGUGGGAGCCGUAGCCUGGGGCAGACAUAUGAGGUUACCAGAUGACAGAAGGGAAACAAAUGAUUUAACUCCCACUUUGCUUUGUUUUUUUCAAGGACAAUGAUCAUCGAGCCAGAAAGAUGAUUUUAAAAGGGUUCAAGUCUGAGACAGGUGAGGAAAUGGUAAAGCAGCUUCUAAUAGCUUUAAAUAAACUCAAGGCUGCAGACAUCAGCAAAUCGCAUCUCCCGGUAGGGAAAAGAACUCAAAGACAGGCGAGUAGAACCACCGUCGGCUGUGGACUGUUAAGAACAGUAUUUUAGAGACAUAAACAGGAAAAAGUUGCCCCUAUUUUCCUGAAGCAAUUCAAACAUCAGAUUCUGGAAGCCACAAAACACUAAGUUUGACAUUAAUUGCUAGUAAAAAUCCUAAAUGGGAUUAUUUAUGAGUGAAAGAAUGACCCAAAGCAGAAUGGUUUCCUUGAAAAAACAGUUAUGUCAAACUCACUCUAUUGCCCUUUUAAAAAUUUGGAAUCUCUAGAUGAGUAGAUAAGGAAAACUCAGAGGAGUGUCUUGAUUUCAGCAGGAAUAUGAAAAAGUCUUCCACGACCGCCUGGGUAGAAUGGAGAAGAGUUAGCUGGAUGGGAGAACAGG